CCUACGGGUGGCAGCAGUGGGGGAUAUUGCACAAUGGGGGAAACCCUGAUGCAGCGACGCCGCGUGGGCGCAGAAGUAUUUCGGUAUGUAAAGCCCUAUCAGCAGGGAAGAAGAAAUGACGGUACCUGAGUAAGAAGCACCGGCUAAAUACGUGCCAGCAGCCGCGGUAAUACGUAUGGUGCAAGCGUUAUCCGGAUUUACUGGGUGUAAAGGGAGCGCAGGCGGCACGGCAAGCCUGAUGUGAAAGCCCGCGGCCCAACCGCGGAACUGCUUUGGAAACUGUAUAGCUUGAGUACUGGAGAGGCAGGCGGAAUUCCUAGUGUAGCGGUGAAAUGCGUAGAUAUUAGGAGGAACACCAGUGGCGAAGGCGGCCUGCUGGACAGAAACUGACGUUGAGGCUCGAAAGCGUGGGGAGCAAACAGGAUUAGAUACCCGUGUAGUC
rnacentral:rRNA from 1 species